AAGUCGUAACAAGGUAUCCGUAGGUGAACCUGCGGAUGGAUCAUUAACACUAUCUUAAAAACCCACUUGUGAGUGCUUAGUUUCAUUUUUUUGUGAGACGAACACUUGCAUUUUAUAACCCAAACUAGCGAACUUGUCAACGUGAAGGGGGGAUGUGUGUUAAGGAGGAGUCUCUAGAGACUCUUCCUUCUCUCUCUCUCUCUCUUUUGCGUUCGUUUUCUCUAUAUCACUUUUGUAUUCACCCUUUUAACAACAAAUCUCAUGAUUUGUCUCAUCAAAUAACUUGACUAAGAACAACUUUUUUCUCUCUCUUUUGCUUGAUUGCUAAAAGAAGAAAGAAAAAACUCAAUACAAACAAAAAAAAAUACAACUCUUAACAACGGAUAUCUUGGCUCUC
rnacentral:misc_RNA from 1 species